UCUCCCGCUUCUCCUCCCUGAGCGGGAUGCCUUAAUCCCCUUAAGGCAUUUUUUAGCCCCGAUCCCUCCCUUGAUCGGGGCUUUUUUGU
rfam:Thiobacillus sp. SCN 63-1177 ABS89_C0024, whole genome shotgun sequence.